UGCAGAGCCCUCAGACUGGAGCGAAGGUUCACCUUCCAACAAGACAACGACCCUUAGCACACAGCCAAGACAACGUAGGAGUGGCUUCGGGACAAGUCUCUCUGGAGAGACCUGAAAAUAGCUGUGCAGCGACGCUCCGCAUCCAACCUGACAGAGCUUGAGAGGAUCUCCAGAGAAGAAUAGGAGAAACUCCCCAAAUACAGGUGUGCCAAGUUUGUAGCGUCAUACCCAAGAAGACUCAAGGCUGUAAUCCCUGCCAAAGGUUUUUCAACAAAGUACUGAGUAAAGGGUCUGAAUACUUAUGUAAAUGUGUUGUUAUUUUUAACAAAAAUGUCUAAAAACCUGCUUUGUUUUUAUGGGGUAUUGUGUGUAGAUUGAUGAGGUGGGGGAAACAUAUUUUUUAAUCAAAAUGUGGAAAAAGUCAAGGGGUCUGAAUAAUUUCCGAAUGCACUGUAUACUGGUAAUAUGCAGGACCCUGGGGGAUCUUGGCUGGAAAGAGGGAUGCUGUUGUUGAGUAUUAAAAGGCCCGGUCAUACCCGGCCCGGUCCACUCCGCUCCUAGGCACUGACACCAAACAGCAGAACAGAACAUCACAGAGACUAUGAAGAAGAACAAGAAAUGCACUAAUUGUAUAUUUUUGGUUCUGAGAGAGGGACAUUUACAUUACAUUUGAGGCAUUUUAGAAAUGCUCUUAUGCAUAGCGACUCACAAUCAGUUAACUGACAAUGUGCCUAUGAUUAUUUAGUCAGGCUGGGUCAGGUUGAGGAUGGCCAGGGUGAGGCAUGGCCAGGGUGAGGCAUGGCCAGGGUGAGGCAUGGCCAGGUUGAGAAUGGCCAGGGUGAGGCAUGGCCAGGUUGAGAAUGGC